AGGGGUUGUAGUCUAACCAGGCAGAAUAGGCGGCUCCAAACCGCUUGACCCAGGUUCAAAUCCUGGCAACCCC
rnacentral:tRNA from 1 species